GUGCUCACUUUUGCAGCACAUGCACUAAAAUUGAAAUCAUACAGAGAGAUUAGCAUGGCCCCUGCACGAGAACACAACCAAAUCCUUACUUUU
ensembl:snRNA U6 U6 spliceosomal RNA